GACGAACGCUGGCGGCGUGCUUAACACAUGCAAGUCGAACGGAAAGGCCCUGCUUUUGUGGGGUGCUCGAGUGGCGAAAGGGUGAGUAACACGUGAGUAACCUGCCCUUUAGUUUGGGAAAACUUCAGGUAAUAGGGCCUAAUCCCGCAUCGGAGCUCCUGCCGCCUGGUGGGGGUUGGAAGGUUUCGGCGGUGGGGGCUGGACUUGCGGGUUUUGGGCUUGUUGGUGGGGUAGUGGCCUACCAAGGCUAUGGCGGGUAGCCGGCCUGUGCGGGGGACCGGCGACAUGGGGACUGCGAUACGGCGCAGACGCAGAAGGGAGGAAGCGGUGGGGAACAUGGCACAGAGGGCGGAAGCCUGAGGCAGCAACGCCGCGUGCGGGAGGACGGCCUUCGGGUUGUAAACCGCGUUCGCCUGUGACGAAGCGAGAGUGACGGUAAUGGGUAAAGAAGCACCGGCUAACUACGUG
rnacentral:rRNA from 1 species